rnacentral:tRNA from 1 species
AUUACUGUGGUGUAAGUAGAGAGCAUGACUAACUUCCAAUUAGAGGGUCGUAGUAGUAAGUG